rnacentral:rRNA from 1 species
AGUCGAACGGUAGCACAGGGGAGCUUGCUCCCCGGGUGACGAGUGGCGGACGGGUGAGUAAUGUCUGGGGAUCUGCCCGAUGGAGGGGGAUAACUACUGGAAACGGUAGCUAAUACCGCAUAACCUCGAAAGAGCAAAGUGGGGGACCUUCGGGCCUCACACCAUCGGAUGAACCCAGAUGGGAUUAGCUAGUAGGUGGGGUAACGGCUCACCUAGGCGACGAUCCCUAGCUGGUCUGAGAGGAUGACCAGCCACACUGGAACUGAGACACGGUCCAGACUCCUACGGGAGGCAGCAGUGGGGAAUAUUGCACAAUGGGCGCAAGCCUGAUGCAGCCAUGCCGCGUGUAUGAAGAAGGCCUUCGGGUUGUAAAGUACUUUCAGCGGGGAGGAAGGGAUGAAGGUUAAUAACCUUCGUCAUUGACGUUACCCGCAGAAGAAGCACCGGCUAACUCCGUGCCAGCAGCCGCGGUAAUACGGAGGGUGCAAGCGUUAAUCGGAAUUACUGGGCGUAAAGCG